AUUGAACGCUUGCGGCAGGCCUAACACAUGCAAGUCGAACGAGUGGCGGACGGGUGCGUAAUGUCUGGGAAACUGCCUGAUGGAGGGGGCUAACUACUGGAAACGGUAGCUAAUACCGCAUACCAUCGGAUGUGCCCAGCUGGGAUUAGCUAGUAGGUGGGGUAAAGGCUAACCUAGGCGACGAUCCCUAGCUGGUCUGAGAGGAUGGCAAGCAACACUGGAACUGAGAGACGGGCCAGACGCCUACGGGAGGCAGCAGUGGGGAAGAUUGCACAAUGGGCGGAAGCAUGAUGCAGUCAGGCCGCGUGUAUGAAGAAGGCCGUCGGGGUGUAAAGUACUGUCAGCGGGGAGGCGUUACACGCAGAAGAAGCACCGGCUAACUCCGUGCCAGCAGCCGCGGUAAUAC
rnacentral:rRNA from 1 species